UGCGCAGAGGCCCCCGCUGUGCAGUGUGGCAGUUGGAUAUGGCACCUCCUGAACAGAUGGUAUAGGAUCAUCUAAGGAAAGACAAGACAUCCACCCAACAGCUAAUACGCAAGAUGACGUUGGUGAGCGCCAUGGGCCAGAGUUUACUUGUGAACCCCAGUUUGAGAAAAC